GCUUAAGUAGCUUAUUUAGAGUUUAUUAUUGAAGAUAUUGGGGAGGUUAUUGACCCUUAAGCA
rnacentral:tRNA from 2 species